UUAAACGUUCAUAACCACGUUGAAUACACCGGUUCUCGUCCGAUCACCGAAGUUAAGCAACGUCGGGCGCGGUCAGUACUUGGAUGGGUGCCCCGCCUGGGAACACCGCGUUACGUUGGCU
rnacentral:rRNA from 1 species